AGUACUAUGGACACUAUCGCAAGACGCUAUCGCAAUAACCAGGAGCUGGGAUGCUAUCUGGUUUGAAUCUUCCCCCCAAUUUUGAAUGGGAGAUAGAAAACUUGCCUAGUAACGUGAUCACCCCACCUAACAAUCACUAAAUCUCAACAAUAAUCGUAUCAGAUUUAUAUAUGAUAUGUAAUUUAUAUAUGGUAUACGGAGUACGCUGAGUUAUAGACUGUAUUUGUGACGGGUUAGCACCCGUUAGUAGUUAACAUGCGCAACCAACCCCCUUAACGCUCGUUCGCCCCCUCACAUGCUCACACACGCCUACAAAACGCUCCUCUCCCCGCGAUUCCGCUCCACGAUUGUGUAGUCCCUAACGAUUCCUCCACAUAACCCUUAACAUUCUUCCACCCCACACCCCACCAUUGCGAGACCUCUGAUAUUCUUCUGUUCUGAUUCCUUUUCUAUAAGAACCCCCUUCGUACAACCUUUCCUUCUGAUCUCUUUUCUCUUUCUUUCCUUAAUCAAUUCAUAAUCUGUAUUAGAAGAGUGCUUAGUCCGUUAGUACGCCCGUUACAGUAUUAGAAGUUGAUUUUCUUAAUAAAUUACACA
rnacentral:sRNA from 1 species